AUUGUAUUAUUUAUAUUUAUGCUAAGUGUCUAAUGUUUUCUUCACUUUGUUUCAAAUCAGGUAAAAUAUAGCUGUAAUUGGAGGUUGUCGUGAGUAUAUAAGUGCCCCAUAUUUUGCUGCAAUUUCAGCCUUAAAAAUUGACUAACUUGGAGAUGAGGGGAAAAAGGAAAAUGGGGGAAGCUAAUAAUGAGGAUAAGAAAGAUGAUAGCAAGGCUUACUUUGCUUGGAACUUGGAGAUGGAGUUUGCACUUGCUAAUAUACUUAGAGAUCAAAGAAGCUUGGGAAACAAGAGUGAUGGUGCAUUGAAAGCAAUGGCAUAUAACACUGCCGCUCAAGUGUUGUCUUCACGCUUCAACGUGCAACUUAUUGGAGAGAAUGUUAAGAACCGCAUCAAGCUAUGAAAAUCAUGGUAUGUAAUUGUUAGUGACAUCCUUAGUCAAAGUCGUUUUGAUUGGGAUGGAACUAAACAUAUGAUUUGUAUUACAAAUGAAGAUGCAUGGAAUGAGUAUGUCAAGUCACAUAAUGACGCUAGGAGGAUUCGAUUUAAGGUGAUUGCUAAUUGGGAUGACAUUGUAGACUUGUGUGCUAAAGAUAGAGCAGCAUGAAUUGGAGCGGAGACAUCAUUGGAUGCAGAUGACAUCAUGAGCAAAGAAGCAAAUUAGGAAGGAUCUUACAUUGUGGAUAUUGAUGUUGAUGAACAAAGCUCUACAACAAGGAAAAGCAAACAAUCAACUGGUAUUGAAUUCAAAAAGGGAAAAAAUGGAGGAAAGAAUGAGAUAAUUACUUCAAUGAAUAGAGUAGCUGAUUUAUUGAGUGAAUUUGAGCAAGCAAUUAGAAAAGGGGUGAAAAAUGUCCAAGAAGUGGUUCAUGAUGUGAUGAAUGAGCUAAAGAACAUUUCUGGCCUUAAUGACACUCAGUGGCUAAAAGCAAUGAAUUGGCUUUCUGAAAAUCCAAAUAAGUUAGAGAUUUUGAAAGCUCUUCCGGUGGAGAAAAAGAAAGACUACAUAUUGACUUUUAUGCAUUGAUUCACAACUAGGAAGAAAGACCAAGUUCUUCCACAUUUCGAUUUCCAUUAGCAAUUGUUCCACCUAGAAUGUUUUGUUUGUUUGAAUACUAGUCAUUUGCUAUAGUUUAUGGACUCAUUUGUAGUGUUUCUAUUAUGCCA